UACGGGGGGGGCAAGCGUUGUUCGGAUUUACUGGGCGUAAAGGGCGCGUAGGCGGCGUGACAAGUCACUUGUGAAAUCUCCGGGCUUAACCCGGAACUGCCAAGUGAUACUGUCGUGCUAGAGUGCGGAAGGGGCAAUCGGAAUUCUCGGUGUAGCGGUGAAAUGCGUAGAUAUCGAGAGGAACACCUGAGGUGAAGACGGGUUGCUGGGCCGACACUGACGCUGAGUGCGCGAAAGCCAGGGGAGCAAACGGG
rnacentral:rRNA from 1 species